rnacentral:lncRNA from 1 species
CUAAAGAUCCUUGAGGCAAUGCAAGUGCAAUGUUAUGAUGCCAUAAGGGAUCUUAGGGACAAAAUUGGGGUCUUACAGAUGCCCCAUAUUUAAGGUCAUUCUAACCGGAGAAGUGAAGGUUAAAAUCUUCAUCUCGACGGGGUAGAAUGGGCUUAAAUAAUAACAAAGAGACGGAUUUUGGUCCCUAAGAGACCUCAUGAUGCAGAUGUAUGC